ACAAGCGGUGGAGCAUGUGGUUUAAUUCGACGCAACGCGAAGAACCUUACCUGGGCUCGAACGGCUUCGGAAAGCCGGUAGAAAUACUGGUCCUCCAGCAAUGGAUCGGAGUCGAGGUGCUGCAUGGCUGUCGUCAGCUCGUGUCGUGAGAUGUUGGGUUAAGUCCCGCAACGAGCGCAACCCUUGUCCUGUGUUGCCAUCAUUAAGUUGGGCACUCUCAGGAGACCGCCAGCGAUAAGCUGGAGGAAGGUGGGGAUGACGUCAAGUCAUCAUGGCCUUUAUGUCCAGGGCUACACACGUGCUACAAUGACCGGUACAAAGCGAAGCCAACCCGCGAGGGGGAGCAAAUCGCAAAAAACCGGCCUCAGUUCGGAUUGCAGGCUGCAACUCGCCUGCAUGAAGCUGGAAUCGCUAGUAAUGGCAGAUCAGCAUGCUGCCGUGAAUACGUUCCCGGGCCUU
rnacentral:rRNA from 1 species